rnacentral:SRP_RNA from 1 species
GCCUGGCACAGUGGCGCUUGCCUGUAGUCCCAGCUACUCAGGAGGCUGAGGCUGGAGGAUCGCUUGAGCCCAGGAGUUCUGGGCUGUAGUGGGCUAUGCCGAUCAGGUGUCUGCACUAAGUUCAGCAUCAUUAUGGUGGCCUCCCGGGGGCAGGGGACCACCAGGUUGCCUAAGGAGGGGUGAAUUGGCCCAAGUCGGAAAUGGAGCAGGUCAAAACUCCCAUGCUGAUCAUAGUGGGAUUGCACCUGUGAAUAGCCACUGCACUCCAGCCUGGGCAACAAAGCGAGACUCCAUCUCU